UACAGAGGUCCCAAGCGUUGUUCGGAUUCACUGGGCGUAAAGGGUGCGUAGGCGGUCGGGUAAGUCUGACGUGAAAUCUCCGGGCCUAACCCGGAAACUGCGUCGGAUACUAUCCGGCUAGAGGAUUGGAAGGGAGACUGGAAUACUUGGUGUAGCAGUGAAAUGCGUAGAUAUCAAGUGGAACACCAGUGGCGAAGGCGAGUCUCUGGACAAUUCCUGACGCUGAGGCACGAAGCCAGGGAGCAAACGGG
rnacentral:rRNA from 1 species